AAAGUCGUAACAAGGUUUCCGUAGGUGAACCUGCGGAAGGAUCAUUAAUGAUUUUUUAAGCGAUCCGAGCGAUAAAAAGCGAGGAUCGCGAAAUAUUUAAAACCCCACUCUUUUAUAAACUAUUAUGAAACAUGAAUUUUUUUUUUAAAAAAAAGAUCACUUUCAACAACGGAUCUCUUGGCUCUC
rnacentral:misc_RNA from 1 species